rnacentral:rRNA from 1 species
UGCCCUGCAGGCGGGGACAAGCCGUGGGACCGUCCUGAAAGGGCCGGAUACUGGCCCGCCUGGGCGUCCAGGGGGUUCGAAAGCUCCGGCGGGGCAGGAUGAGCCCGCGUUUUAUCAAAUUGUUGGUGAGGUAACGGCUCACCAAGGCGACGACGGGUAGCCGGCCUGAGAGGGCGACCGGCCACACUGGGACUGAGACACGGCCCAGACUCCUACGGGAGGCAGCAGUGGGGAAUAUUGCACAAUGGGCGCAAGCCUGAUGCACCGACCCCGCGUGAGGGAUGACGGCCUUCGGGUUGUAAACCUCUUUCAGCAGGGAAGAAGCGCAAGUGACGGUACCUGCAGAAGAAGCGCCGGUUAUUUACUUGCCCGCAGCCCCGGUAAA